ACAGAGCCUUAGUAGUACAAUCAAUACACUGGUCUUG
rnacentral:tRNA from 1 species